UGGGAGCAGGGACCUUGCUGUCAGGCUUGCAUCCCCUGGAUUGGAGAUUCACUGGGCGCCCCCAGGAGCUCCCAUUUGCCCUGGGCUGCGGCUUCUGCAGGGCACCCACCUCUGCACUGCUCACGAAGCCCUCUGUGCCCGCGGGACACGAACGCGGGGGUCUCACUUAACCCUCGAAACAACUGAUCCCAACAACAGGAGAAUGGAACUUCUUUGAGGACAGGGAAGUUCCUUGAGAGAAAUAUUGCUCGCUGCUGUCUCUGAAGUAUCUCCCUCGUGCCUGGCACAGAGAAACUGAGGCAGGAGAGAGGAUGAAUUGACUUGCCUAAGGUAACCCCGCUGGUAAGGAAACCUACGUUUGGAGGAAGAGCUCCGCUAGGCAGCCAGGUGUGAGGCAGUGUGCACUCCCGUGUGAGAGCGAGAUGCCCGGUGGAGAGCCUUAAGUAAACCUGGAGAGAGCCUGGCCUGAAGCCCGAGAAAACCAACUGCUGGGAGGGCAACAUUACCUGUGUUUGAAGACGGAAAACAAAAGGCCCUAAGCCCGGGUCAAGAAGGCAGCCUCCUCAGAAAGAAAUUGGUCUCUUAGGGACUGUGGGAGCCCCUGUGAAAUCUGAAGGGCAACUGGUGCCCCGGACUGGCCAAUUCUUGCCACCAGGGAAUGUGGG